rnacentral:rRNA from 1 species
CAGGAUGAACGCUAGCGGCAGGCUUAACACAUGCAAGUCGAGGGGCAUCGGGAGUAGCAAUACUUGCCGGCGACCGGCGCAAGGGUGCGUAACGCGUGAGCAACAUGCCCGUAUCAGGGGGAUAAUCCAUGGAAACGUGGUCUAAUACCCCAUAGUAAUUAUGUAAGGCAUCUUAUAUAAUUUAAAGCUUUGGUGGAUACGGAUUGGCUCGCGUGACAUUAGCUGGAUGGUAAGGUAACGGCUUACCAUGGCUACGAUGUCUAGGGGUUCUGAGAGGAAGGUCCCCCACACUGGAACUGAGACACGGUCCAGACUCCUACGGGAGGCAGCAGUGAGGAAUAUUGGACAAUGGAUGGAAAUCUGAUCCAGCCAUGCCGCGUGCAGGAAAGACGGCCCUAUGGGUUGUAAACUGCUUUUGUAUGGGAGCAAUAAGGGCUACGUGUAGUCCGAUGAGAGUACCAUACGAAUAAGCACCGGCUAACUCCGUGCCAGCAGCCGC